rnacentral:rRNA from 1 species
AACGAACGCUGGCGGCAGGCCUAACACAUGCAAGUCGAGCGAGGACUUCGGUCCUAGCGGCGGACGGGUGAGUAACGCGUGGGAACGUGCCCUUUGCUUCGGAAUAGCCCUGGGAAACUGGGAGUAAUACCGGAUGAGCCCUUUGGGGGAAAGAUUUAUCGGCGAAGGAUCGGCCCGCGUUGGAUUAGGUAGUUGGUGGGGUAAUGGCCUACCAAGCCGACGAUCCAUAGCUGGUUUGAGAGGAUGAUCAGCCACACUGGGACUGAGACACGGCCCAGACUCCUACGGGAGGCAGCAGUGGGGAAUCUUAGACAAUGGGGGAAACCCUGAUCUAGCCAUGCCGCGUGAGCGAUGAAGGCCUUAGGGUUGUAAAGCUCUUUCAGCUGGGAGGAUAAUGACGGUACCAGCAGAAGAAGCCCCGGCUAACUCCGUG